AAUUAGCAGGCGAUAAGACGCGGUGGUCACAGGUAACUGGAGACGCUGUUGGCUGUCUUCUCGGCCAACAGGGAAGACAAGCGAGCACAGCAACACAGCGCCCGACUUCAAAAGUGGGCAUCCGUCACGCAAAAGCACCGGGUUUUCCGGUUAAAAAGGACGGCCGAACCCACGGCCCGAUCCCCGCCGCGUGGCCGCUUCUUCGCCGUCCAUGAGUCGGACGAUCGGAUGGCUUUCGUCCGCCUUCCGCUUUACCUCUCUUCCUCCCGCAAUAAUGCGACAACCGAGACUUUACUGAUCUCCGUCCGAUUUCGAGCGUCGAAGACGAGUCAUUCAUUGACGGGGCUUCAGAGAGGCGGGGGAACCGGAAGGCGGAGGGAGAACUGAGAAGGGUAUGGGGAUCGAGGAAAGUGGUGGAAACUGGAAAUAGAAAGAGGAGAAAGUAGGGAGCAAUAAAUGGGGAAUCGAGGCGGCAGCACAGCCGUCUCCAUGGCGGCGUUGCAGCAGACUCUCUGAUUUCUUUCUCCCUUAAACUACCAUUGGUUUCGGAAUUCAAGAAAAGGGAGACUGCAAGAGGAGAAGUCAAGGAGAGAGAGAGAGAGAGAGAGAGAGGAGUCAUACAGGGAAGAAGCCGGCAGCAUCGACUGCUCCACUCCUGCUGGCUGUUGGGUGCGUUGUGGUUGCAGAGACAAAAAAGCAGCGGGACAAAAGAAGAAAGAAUAGAGCAGAGGUGGCAGUGGCCAUUCUCGCUCCGUCUUGGCUCUCCUCUUUCUUGCUCCCGCGUUCCCUCCUGAGAUCGCUGUCCCACCUCCCCUAGAUAGCAAGGAAAGGGUCGCCAGCAGCUAUGGAUCGAGUAUAACUAGUCCGGUGGGGGAGUAAUCAUGGCGGGGUUUUUUCUCGGAGGGGGCGGUGGCAGCCAGCAACAGCGCGGAGAGCAGCAAGGAGGAGGGAUCCCUCCGUCGGAGAGCUUCUUUCUUUACGGCGUUCGCGGAGGCCGGGGCGAGGACGUCGCUUACACCCGAGGCUUCGAGCUGUGGCAGCACCACCAGAUCCAGCGGGAGCAGCAGCUGUACUCCACCGCGGGCUUCCCCGAUGAGCUGCCGUCCGUGGCGCCGAGGCCGGCGAGAGGAAGCCUGGGAGGCGGCAGCGGGGUGAUGAGCUGCCAGGACUGCGGCAACCAGGCCAAGAAGGACUGCGCCCACAUGAGGUGCCGGACCUGCUGCAAGAGCCGCGGCUUCCAGUGCCCCACCCACGUCAAGAGCACCUGGGUCCCCGCCGCAAAGCGCAGGGAGCGCCAGCAGGAGCUCACCGCCUCCGCCGCCGCGGUGCAGCACGACGAGCGCCACCGCGGUGGCGGCCGAUCCACGGGCGAAGGCAGCAGCGGAGGGGGCGAGCCUUCCAAGCGGCCGAGGGAGAUCACGGCCUGCACCCGACUGCCAGCCGCCAUGGCUUCGACCACCACGUAUGGAGGAAGCCUGGACCCCGAGAGCUUCCCACCGGAAGUGAGCGCGCAGGCGGUGUUCCGGUGCGUGCGGUUGAGCCACGUGGACGAAGCCGACGACAUAUACGCGUACCAGGCCGCCGUGAGCAUCGGCGGCCAUGUGUUCAAGGGACUUCUCUAUGAUCACGGCCCCGAGGCCGAGUACCCAUCGUCCUCCUCCUCUCGGUACCAGCUCCACCACGGUGAAGGCUCUUCCUCCCCCGCAGCGGCUGCUGCUACUGCUAUAGUCAGUGCCAGUGCCAGUGCCAGUGCUGGAGAUGCCGCCAUUGCGACCACUGCCACUGCUGCAGCCACCGAAUUGCUUGAGCCUUACCCGACUCCCUUAAGUGCCUUCAUGGCCGGCACGCAAUUCUUCCCCCACCAACACAGACCAUAGCGGAGAAACCUACGAAGAGGAUGCCAACGCCAAGCACGUCUCCUUCACGACCACAGGUCACGUCCGUGUUAUUUAACGUGCCUCAUCUGGUCACCAAUUUUUCUUAUACCAUGCAUUCCUCCUCAUCAUCCGGCAAUUGUGUAAUCUCUCCAAAUAAUUUCAAGUUUUCUCCUUCUUGAUCACUCUCUAGCAUAGCAAACUUAGAGCAGGCACUCUUCUUGUUCCUCACCUAUUAGCAUCUUCGUCUUCCUUUUGACGUCUCGUGUUGCUCUAUCUAUAGUUUGGUCCCAAGAAGAUGGCCGUCUUUACGGGAUCUGCGGGAUAUGCUUCGGGUUCGGAAAUGGACAUGCCUGGAUUUCUGUUUCACAUUGUUUCAACCUCGGAAACUAUAACUUAGACUGCGAAGGACUUGCUUGAGUUGGUUCCAUGUGGACAUGAUGGCCAUGCAUGGAGUAAGCUGAAUCCCAAGAAGCAGAAAGCCUUUUACCACUCUUCCUCGUAGAAAUGUUUCCCUAUAGUGUAUGCUGCACCUGUGGCAAUUUGGAUCUUUCAUGCUACCUACGGAUAGGGAUGAGCUCUAGCAUGUGUGCUCCUUCUCUCUCGAGGCUAAAGUGACUCCGAAUGGGAAAAAGAAGACACAAGAGAUCAACCUUUGCGGCUGUGCCUCAACAGGAAGUUUAUGACUUCUAAAAUUUAAAGAGCAAAAAGGAUAUUGGCCCUUCGUCGCGCACAUCUUUAAAAGGCGAAAGGGUUAUCGGAUAUUAUUGUUCUUAAAAUUCACUAAAAUUGAGUAGUCCUAAGUGAAGCACAAAAUUACAUAAAAAUAGUAGAUAAAAUCAACAAAAAGGAAAUACCAGGUAAUUUUGUUUUGAAAACUCAAUACGCAUUUACUAUGAUAAAAGAUGAAUUAGGUGAGAAAGUACUUCUCUUCAAGUUUUUUGCUUGCUCUGAAAGAAUCAAACCUGUGAUCAAGGGAAACUAUGACUUGCUAAAUAAAAAAUUCAACAAUAAAUUGGGUUUCUGUAAAUUAAAUGAACAUUUUGGGCUUAAAAACUGUAUAUAUGUUUACCUUGGUGUAUGUGGGUCUGUAAGUUCUUGCUACUUUCAUGAUUAUGCUAGUUCGGCUAUGAAUGUGGAUUCAUUCUGUUUUCAUUUUUUUUAUUGCCUUCUGACUACAUCUAAUUAUUUAUUUGUCAUUGAAAUCAUCUUUCCUGUGAGCUAGCAGAUCAUUUACGUGGAUGUCCUAGCUUUGAUCCUCCUCCGUCGCGACCCUCUCUACUUGUUUUUUGCGUAAUCCAUGGCUUUUGGUAUAUUAUCAAAACUUCUGAAUUCUUAAGGGUUUAGAAGCUACUUGUGACCUUGGUUGCAACUUUCUCAUGAACUUUAUAUGCUGCAAAUUAAAGAUAUAAGCCGUAGCAUUGUAC